rnacentral:rRNA from 1 species
UACGUAGGGUGCGAGCGUUAAUCGGAAUUACUGGGCGUAAAGCGUGCGCAGGCGGUUUUGUAAGACAGGCGUGAAAUCCCCGGGCUCAACCUGGGAACUGCGUUGGAAACUGUCAGGCUAGAGUGUAGCAGAGGGGGGUAGAAUUCCACGUGUAGCAGUGAAAUGCGUAGAGAUGUGGAGGAAUACCGAUGGCGAAGGCAGCCCCCUGGGUUAACACUGACGCUCAUGCACGAAAGCGUGGGGAGCAAACAGGAUUAGAUACCCGAGUAGU